rnacentral:rRNA from 1 species
UACAGAGGUCCCGAGCGUUGUUCGGAUUCACUGGCGUAAAGGGUGCGCAGGUGGGUUUGCAAGUUCGAUGUGAAAGCCCCGGGCUUAACCCGGGAAUGGCAUUGGAUACUGCAGAUCUGGAGGAUCGGAGGGGGACUGGAAUUCUUGGUGUAGCAGUGAAAUGCGUAGAUAUCAAGAGGAACACCAGUGGCGAAGGCGAGUCCCUGGACGAUACCUGACACUGAGGCACGAAAGCUAGGGGAGCAAACAGG